AGAGUUUGAUCAUGGCUCAGGACGAACGCUGGCGGCGUGCUUAACACAUGCAAGUCGAACGGAAAGGCCCCUUUUUGGGGUGCUCGAGUGGCGAACGGGUGAGUAACACGUGGGUGAUCUGCCUGCACUUCGGGAUAAGCCUGGGAAACUGGGUCUAAUACCGGAUAGGACUACAAGGCGCAUGUCUUGUGGUGGAAAGC
rnacentral:rRNA from 1 species